rnacentral:rRNA from 1 species
GAUGAACGCUGGCGGCGUGCCUAAUACAUGCAAGUCGAGCGAACAGAUGAGGAGCUUGCUCCUCUGACGUUAGCGGCGGACGGGUGAGUAACGCGUGGAUAACCUACCUAUAAGACUGGGAUAACUUCGGGAAACCGGAGCUAAUACCGGAUAAUAUAUUGAACCGCAUGGUUCAAUAGUGAAAGACGGUUUUGCUGUCACUUAUAGAUGGAUCCGCGCCGCAUUAGCUAGUUGGUAAGGUAACGGCUUACCAAGGCGACGAUGCGUAGCCGACCUGAGAGGGUGAUCGGCCACACUGGAACUGAGACACGGUCCAGACUCCUACGGGAGGCAGCAGUAGGGAAUCUUCCGCAAUGGGCGAAAGCCUGACGGAGCAACGCCGCGUGAGUGAUGAAGGUCUUCGGAUCGUAAAACUCUGUUAUUAGGGAAGAACAAAUGUGUAAGUAACUAUGCACGUCUUGACGGUACCUAAUCAGAAAGCCACGGCUAACUACGUG